UUCCGUAUAGGAUGUAAAUAACACACCCAGGAGUUGUAUGUUAAUAUGACCACUCAUAAAGGGGGUUCCGUGUCGGCAUGACAACUACAAUGUUCUGAACCCGCUAGAAUGGUUGAUGUUGUAAUGGGCUACUCAGGAGGGGGGCUGUCUGUCUGUACCGGUGGGGAGGGACUGGUGAUGUGGGUCUGGACUGGUGAUGUGGGUCUGUACUGGUGGGGAGGGACUGGUGAUGUGGGUCUGGACUGGUGGGGAGGGACUGGUGAUGUGGGUCUGGACUGGUGGGGGUCUGGACUGGUGAUGUGGGUCUGUACUGGUGGGGAGGGACUGGUGAUGUGGGUCUGGACUGGUGGGGAGGGACUGGUGAUGUGGGUCUGGACUGGUGAUGUGGGUCUGAACUGGUGGGGAGGGACUGGUGAUGUGGGUCUGGACUGGUGGGGAGGGACUGGUGAUGUGGGUCUGGACUGGUGGGGAGGGACUGGGACUGGUGAUGUGGGUCUGUACUGGUGGGGAGGGACUGGUGAUGUGGGUCUGGACUGGUGGGGAGGGACUGGUGAUGUGGGUCUGUACUGGUGGGGAGGGACUGGUGAUGUGGGUCUGUACUGGUGGGGAGGGACUGGUGAUGUGGGUCUGUACUGGUGGGGAGGGACUGGUGAUGUGGGUCUGUACUGGUGGGGAGGGACUGGUGAUGUGGGUCUGUACUGGUGGGGAGGGACUGGUGAUGUGGGUCUGGACUGGUGGGGAGGGACUGGUGAUGUGGGUCUGGACUGGUGGGGAGGGACUGGUGAUGUGGGUCUGUACUGGUGGGGAGGGACUGGUGAUGUGGGUCUGGACUGGUGGGUCUGGACUGGUGGGGG
ensembl:lncRNA